AGUGAACGCUGGCGGUAGGCCUAACACAUGCAAGUCGAACGGCAGCACAGGAGAGCUUGCUCUCUGGGUGGCGAGUGGCGGACGGGUGAGGAAUACAUCGGAAUCUACUCUGUCGUGGGGGAUAACGUAGGGAAACUUACGCUAAUACCGCAUACGACCUACGGGUGAAAGCAGGGGACCUUCGGGCCUUGCGCGAUUGAAUGAGCCGAUGUCGGAUUAGCUAGUUGGCGGGGUAAAGGCCCACCAAGGCGACGAUCCGUAGCUGGUCUGAUAGGAUGAUCAGCCACACUGGAACUGAGACACGGUCCAGACACAUACGGGAGGCAGCAGUGGGGAAUAUUGGAGAAUGGGCGAAAGCCUGAUCCAGCCAUACCGCGUGGGUGAAGAAGGCCUUCGGGUUGUAAAGCCCUUUUGUUGGGAAAGAAAUCCAGCUGGCUAAUACCCGGUUGGGAUGACGGUACCCAAAGAAUAAGCACCGGCUAACUUCGUGCCAGCCGCCGCGGUAA
rnacentral:rRNA from 1 species